rnacentral:rRNA from 1 species
AAGGGGGCUAGCGUUGUUCGGAAUUACUGGGCGUAAAGCGCACGUAGGCGGUUUGUUAAGUCAGAGGUGAAAUCCCGGAGCUCAACUUCGGAACUGCCUUUGAUACUGGCAAUCUAGAGUCCGGAAGAGGUUAGUGGAAUUCCCAGUGUAGAGGUGAAAUUCGUAGAUAUUGGGAAGAACACCAGUGGCGAAGGCGGCUAACUGGUCCGGUACUGACGCUGAGGUGCGAAAGCGUGGGGAGCAAACAGG